AGAGCUCACCCUCUCUGAAGGAGAGCAGGUGCCUCCUGAGAGCAGGGCUUCUCUACCUUGGGGCACUAUGAACAUUCUGAGUGGGGCGCCCUGAACGAGUGCCCAGAUGCUUGUGAGGCCCAGAUCUUGGGGUGUGCAGCCAGGAAGGGCUCUGCUAGCUUUCCCACCUCCCUCCUGACCUCUUCUGCCCCUCACUGGACCCAGCCCGUUGGCUUCAGGAUGGGCCCCACGGGACAUGCUUUCAUGGAACCUGAGGAAAGAAUGCACUUACAACAGCGCCGGGAGCACAGAGGCUUCCCACUACCCUUUCCGAGAAGCACGUCUAUUUUCUCUAAUUUAUUCAGUGCCGCUGUGCGUGUGUGGCCUCUCAGGAUACCCUACAACUAACAGGCAUGAUGCCAUCAAGACAUCUUGAGCCUGGCUACCUCCCGUGGCCUGUAUUUUGUCCACAGGAAACUCGCGCAGUCUCACUACAGCAAAUUGAGGUGGUAUGGGGUGCCUGCUGCUGCCUCUCUCUUCACCUUUCCACAGAGGGCUGCCCCAGCCUGACUCCCACUUCCAGAGUUUCUCCAGCCAGGAGAAUCCUGAAAUCUCUGUAAAUAAGCAAUCCAGGAGCCAGAGAAUCAUGGGAUCUCAUAUAAACAAAUCAUCAAGGAAAAACACAGCCAGAGUCUCCAUUUGGUAAACCUCCGUGACUGGGGAUCCCCGGCCACCCAGAAAGCAGUAUUGCCUGCCAUGCAUGUCAUCACUGAUUUUUACUGCUGCAGCAGACUCCGUCAGACCUGCCUGCUGCUUCAGCGAAUUGUUCAGUGCACACCACCAGCUACCUGCUGUAAGCAUUCACACUCCUCUACCUGCCUGGCAGCAUUUCUCAGCUGAACACAGGCCAGGCCAGAAGUGCCAGGGAUUUAAUGCCCUUAGAAGUAGCUCUCUACCAAUGACAAAUGGAGCUGGUGGAUACAUUCUCAGCUUCCUCCCCUCUCAGGUGGAACAGCCCUGAGAUGUGCUCUAUGCAAUCUCCCACAAGUCCCCAGCAGGCUCAAGCUCCCAUUGUCCAACCCUGGUAACCUGCUCAUUGACACCCCUGUCUUGCCUUCCCUUCCUGGCCUCACUUUCUCACUCUCUUACUGUUGCCUCCUGAGAUCGCAUCCAAAAUAAAUGACCUGCACCCAGA
ensembl:lncRNA LINC02128 long intergenic non-protein coding RNA 2128